AUGAGGCUAGUGAAUGGGCCGGGCCGUGAUAUCCGAAAGAGAGAGACUGGAAGGUGGGCCCGGCCCAUAAUACGUAGAGAAGACCCGAGUCUCUGGUCUCCACCAACCCGCCCUUCGUCUCGCCCCCUCCCUCUCGCCGUCGGCGCCGCCGCCAUCCACCGGAGACAGCCGUCUGCCCAGGUAAGAUCCCCUCUUAUCUCCUCUUCCCCCCUUCCUCACCGUCGCGCCGAUGUAAGGAAGAACACUGAUAGAGGGCGGAAUCGUAGGUAUACUCGCCUGUGCAUGACUGCGUUGGUUCGGCUCACCGGGAGAGCAGCUUCUUGGAGCAGGGGCGCCAGCAUCGCGGCUCCGCGUGGCCUCGGCUUGCUCCCGCAGCGCAGGGCCGCGUUCCAGGGUGCGAGGAUGGAGAACGGCGGCGGCAAGGGCGGCCGCGGCGCGCUCAUAGUCCUGGAAGGGCUGGACAGGAGUGGCAAGUCGUCGCAGUGCGCCCGGCUGCUGUCCUUUCUGGAAGGGAAAGGCUGCGCAACCGAAGGGUGGCGCUUCCCGGACAGGGACACCAGCGUCGGGAAGAUGAUCUCCGCGUACCUCGCCAACGAGUCGCAGCUCGAUGACCGGACCAUCCAUUUGCUCUUCAGCGCGAAUCGCUGGGAGAAAAGAAGUUUGAUGGAAAGCAAGCUACUUGGUGGAACUACACUCGUCGUUGACCGCUACUCUUAUUCUGGAGUGGCAUUUUCAGCUGCUAAAGGACUUGAUAUUGGGUGGUGCAAGGCCCCUGAGGUUGGACUGCUAGCUCCAGAUCUUGUAAUAUAUCUUGAUGUACAACCGGAGAAAGCGGCCGAAAGAGGAGGCUAUGGGGGUGAGAGAUACGAAAGAGUUGAGUUCCAAAAGAGAGUUGCUGAGCAUUACCAUUCGCUCCGUGAUUUGACAUGGAAGGUUGUUGAUGGUUCCCUUCCCAUGGAGACCGUGGAAGAACAGCUAAGAGAACUUGCCAUGAAUUGCAUUUCAGAAUGCCAAGACAAGCACCUUACCAAUCUAACCUGGUAG
rnacentral:rRNA from 1 species